UUUUAGAUUACCUCUCAUUCAAAGAAAUUGCAGAAUUACAAGAGCUUUGUGGGAAGAAGUUCUCAAACUUUUAAUGGGAAAUUAAGCGCAGCUGGAUGUAAAAGCAAGUUCAAGAAUUUUCACGACACUUAUAGGAGACUUGUGAACGCUGAGAAACUACCAAGUGGAUCUGCUUCCAAAAGCAACAUGAGCAAAUGGAAACAUUAUAAAAGUAUGGAAUUCCUUCGAGAUAGUUGCUUACAGAAAAGUACGAUUUCUAAUAUUAACGAUGGAGACAGCAACAGUAUUAUCGAGAAUGAUAAUGAAUUAGAUUGCCAAGAUGCGAAUAUGUUAGAAGUUACUAAUAAUGAAGAUAGUCAAGAUACGAUUAUAUCAGACAGAGAUCAAGAUCAUGUAAGAAAGAGAAGGCGAGCAGAGUCACAAAACAGCUACUUAGAACGUAUAGCAGACGCUUUAUGCCAACCACUCCU